rnacentral:rRNA from 1 species
AGCGAACGCUGGCGGCAGGCUUAACACAUGCAAGUCGAGCGGGCACUUUCGGGUGUCAGCGGCGGACGGGUGAGUAACGCGUGGGAACGUGCCCUCUGGUUCGGAAUAACUCAGGGAAACUUGAGCUAAUACCGGAUACGCCCUUUUUGGGAAAGGCUUGCUGCCGGAGGAUCGGCCCGCGUCUGAUUAGCUAGUGGGUGAGGUAACGGCUCACCAAGGCGACGAUCAGUAGCUGGUCUGAGAGGAUGAUCAGCCACACUGGGACUGAGACACGGCCCAGACUCCUACGGGAGGCAGCAGUGGGGAAUAUUGGAAAAUGGGCGCAAGCCUGAUCCAGCCAUGCCGCGUGAGUGAUGAAGGCCUUAGGGUUGUAAAGCUCUUUUAUCCGGGACGAUAAUGACGGUACCGGAGGAAUAAGCCCCGGCUAACUUCGUG